GAACUCAAUAUAUGCUCAAAUGUGUUAUUUUUCGACUUGCAUUCAACCUCAUCAUCCUUCAGUCUUUCUUGUCCAGUAUGCUCAUGAGUUCUUGAUGGUUUGUUUGUCUCUUCUGAAGGAGGAGGGCGAGCUUCUACAGAAGACACUUGUCCUGCAGCAAACAUGGAGUUCCAGCUCAACCGCCGGCGCACCUGUGACAGACUUCUUCGUUUGACUGCUCAUGCCUCUGAGGCGCUGGCACAGUACAACAACCUGUUAAUCAGUUAAUACCCUGCAGGAUAACUGAACACAAACUCCUGAUCAUCUCAAAGUCUCUGCAGGGUGCCGGUGCUUCUGAUUAUGCUCUCUGACGGGGAAUCCUGUAGCUGGAGGAUCGACUGGAAGAUCCAGAAGAGUUUUCACUGUCCAGCAGUGCAGGAAACGCUCAGAGAGCAGAAAGAUCACAGUGGCAAACAGUGGCCCAAAACAACAACAAAAGAGGAAGGCGAAGAGGAAAAAAGAAAUAAAGCUAAAGCUAAAUAUCAGUUUAGUGAAGUUUCUCCUGUGGCUUCUCCAGCUCGAUUGCUCGAGGUCAUCCUGGACAUGACAUCUCUCCACCAGAACAUCUAUUUACAUUCCAGUUUCUGAAGGUUCAUCACCCCGAUGCAGGAAAAGCAAUCUGUGCCUAAUACCAUCAGCACAAAAAAGAAAUAAAAAGAUAAAAUAUACCAUCAGAAGAGCUGUCUCUCCAUCAUGACAGGGUUUAUAUCUUCUCAAAGCUUGUAAAAAAAAAAAAAAAAAAAAAAAAAAAAAAAAAANNNNNNNNNNNNNNNNNNNNNNNNNNNNNNNNNNNNNNNNNNNNNNNNNNNNCUGAUUAAGUUAUGUGUAAUUAUAAAAAUAUAGUGAAUAAUAGAGAUAAAGAACCUCUUACUGCUGAACUUAAUAUAUGAAUACACAUAAUAUAUACAGUUGAAGAAUCCUUAGAUCCUCAAGGAUGUUUUUAAAUUCAUUUAUAAUCAUGUAUUCACAUAAUCAUUUUAUAAUCGUUCGCCAUUCAUAUGAUUUAUUACUUGAUUAUUUUUUAUCAUUUAUCAUUAUAUAAUUUACAUAUUUUUAUUGUUUAUUCAUUUAUUAUGUUUUUUUUCAUUUAUUAUAUUUCUGUAUAUUAUAUUUCUUAUUAAUUUUUCCUUGCUUAUGCAUUUUCAUUGUUGUUCAGUCUCAUGCUUGUGGGGUUUCAUGUUUUUUUUUUCUGUAUGAAUAGAGACAGAUAAGAGUGAAUGUUUAUGGAAACCCAAGGUUUAUGGGAAGUUGCUGUGAAGCAGUUUUGGUAUAACAGUACCUGUUGAAUUUGUGCUGGUCAGACAAAGUUUGACCACUGAGACAUACGCAACUAAGAUUGUUCAAUAAACUCUGUUACCAUCAUAACCUUGUCUCCUGCUUCUGCUCCUCUCUGGCUUUCCUGGGUCAACUUCUUGACUGACAGAAGACUGUUCAACACAUGUUUUGGGUAUUUUUGGAUACUAGACAAGACUUGCUGUUAACAGGGUUUAGGUACAGCUCUGCAGACUAGUUGUUCUGAACAAACUGGUAUGUUGAUUGCCCUUACCUGGCGUCCAGGGCUGGAUCCUAAUUAUUAUCUGGCGUGGAGACCCACACAGUAGAUAACCAUGCACUGUAUAUUCAUAUUUUUGGUUCAGCAACAGUACAAUUCAUGGAAUUUGCCCCCAUGUCAUGCAUUAACAUUUUUCAGAUACAUACCUAAAUUAAUAAUAAGCUAUUGAUCUAACCCAGAUUUGACUAUAAAACCUUUACUGUAUGUGAGACUGCUGUGCCUGAUUUAAAUUGUGUUGGACUUGUUUGUUUUUAAAGUGUUUUAAUGGUGUGACUGGAGUUGCUUUGGCUGCCUUCUGCCCUGGCAUGUAUGCUCUUUCCCUUAUUAUUUCCCUUCCUGUUUAUUUAUGUAUUAAUAAAAGACCAUUACACUUUGUGCUUGAGUCCUUGACCUCUCCCCACAUCCUUAAGAUACACCAGAAUGAAUGCUGUCGAUGCUGUUUCUGUGAAAUCAUAAAAGGACAGAUAUCUUGUUAUGGGGAUAAUUACUUAAGGCGCUUGGGUUAAACUCACCUUCUGGCAUUAAAAUUCAUUAUCCUAGAAGUGUUGCUUCAUUUAUAGGCAUUAUCUAAGGGUGCACAGAAAACUGGGCUUCUCUGCACUUUUUUUUCCUUUUUUUUCAGAUUUUACAGUAAGCUAUAAUUUCUUCAUAGAAACAUCUGAGGAUUGAUGGUCCAGGUGUGUUUCUUUUAGGCACUGUUGAUGCCAUCAGCCAGUGAACUGAUGUAAAUGAUCUGUACUCAUAAUCAGUUUCUUAUUUUUAGAAAUUCAUUUACAGGUGUCUAAUAUACGCUGCUGCCUUAUUAUUUAUUAUUAAAAAUAAAUGUAUAUUGUCUCGAGUCGUGAUUCAUUUAGUUUCUUCAUCCUAAUUCUUCAUAAUUGUUCAGCUUUUUGCCAGUUUCUCACUAUAUAGACUGAAAAUUACACACAGUAGUAACUUCUAACACAGUUGUGUAUAAUAUUUCUAAAGUUUACAGAUUUAUUGAAUCUGCAUACAGAUCAUUUUGAAAGAGACACACACAGAGAGAGCUCCAGUUGAGAAUCCAGCAAAGAAAGAGAUAUCUUGAGGAGCUGAGAGAGGCUC
rnacentral:lncRNA from 1 species